AUGAAGCUCGUGGUUGCGUUCCUCGCCGCCGCACUGUCCCUGUCCAUUCCGCUCGCCGGCGCGCACCGCCCGCUCGCCGACGAAGUGGGUCCCCGCGCCAACCUGACCGAGAUCCUGACGCCAGACCGGCCCUUCCAGACCUUCUUGAGGUACCUCAAUCAGACCAACCUCGUGGAGGUGUUCGAGAACCAGGCCUACCGGACGCACCACGGCAUCACCAUCUUCGCCCCCGCCGACAGGGCCUUCGCCGCCGUCCACCCGUCGGUGCUGUCGGGUCUGAAGAAGCACCAGCUCAAGAACCUGAUGAUGUACCACGCGCUGGCCAAGCACUACGCGCUCAAGGAGUUCGACGGCCUGAGCCGGGUCAACCCGGUGACGACGCUCGCCGGCGGGAUGUAG
rnacentral:rRNA from 1 species